rnacentral:lncRNA from 1 species
AUGCCGCAGUGGAAGAGAAAGGAUCGUGGAAGACAUUCUGGACUUUGUUGUCAUCCACAAGACCAGAGCAACACUACUUAUCAUCCGGGACAAUACUGGAGUCCCUUCCCGACAUUCCAGAAUCACUACAGACGAUGGAGACCUGACCAGGCCUCAUCCCAGCGGAGCAGCAAAUUCACUACACCAAGGAAAAGCGAUAUGUCCACUUCAUCCGAACCAGGACCUGCAAACACAAGUGACAGACAAAAUAUCAAGGACAUUUAUAAUUUAAUCUGCUCAUUGCAUCAUCUGAAGAGUGUGGACAAUCCUGCACAUCCGGAAGCUGCACCACCGACUCUCAAACGUAUAGCACAUCUAAUGGCCACGGCUAUCAAACCGGCCGUCCCCACAGAAGAUACAUUUAGUCAAUUCGAGACUCUUGCACAGGACUGGCUAACAAAUACACUUUUCUAUCUACAGGCACACUACGAGAGGUCAAUAAGGGAUUUAUCUAAAGUGCUUGAGGAACAUAUUCAGGGAGACUGGGAACCUCUUUUUGAAACAGCUUCUCGUUGGGCCAUCCACUAUCUGGGUAAAAGACUAAAAGAUGAAACCCUCAACAAGGCCAGAGACAUCAUGAAGGCCCUGUUCAAGACAUCCCCCACUCUGACAGCACUAAGUCAGGAUAACACCAUGGAUAUUGAUCCACAACUGAAACCGACAACACACUCUGCCACAGGAAGUCACACGGUUACUUCACGGGAGGAGUCCAGUCCACUGACCCAUAUGGAUAGACAUGUCCUUCAGACAUCAAGUCCCAAGCCACUGUCUCCAAAGCGGCCUGGAUGCAAGGAACCUAAUUCGAAGAAACCACAACAAAAAAACAUCCAAAACACUCUGGUUUAUCCACAGGCACCUCCCUCUGAUACAGUAUAUUUUGCCACAUCAACGUCAACAGCAACACAAACCCCAAAACUCAAGACGAUGCCUACCAGACAGACACACUUACCUGAGAAGUCAGCGGGACAUAAGAACUUACCUGAUCCAUUCCAGAAAUUGGCUGAGGAAUACCUAAGAGGAUUUACCAUGCACAGGAGUCCAUUGGAGAUGCCUGGAGAUUCACAUGACAAGAAAUGCCUGUCACCCGUAAGAAAACUGUGCCCCAUUAAUUCUAACACCUAG